GUCAGGAUUUCCGAUCGGUCUAAGGCGCUGCGUUUAGAUCACAUUCCACUUCUGUGGGCGUGGGUUCGAUUCCCACUUCUAACA